rnacentral:other from 1 species
AACUUUUACCUGGUGUCAGCAAUUUUCUUUUAUUAGGGGAAGGCUUGAGGAAGGUACCAAACAGCAGCAGGCUUUUUAAACUUUAGGCAGGUGUGACUCUUGAGCUUACCUUUUCAUUUACUUCAUCCUCCAAGGCGUGCAAUCAUUUGGCGUGCCUACUUCCCAUUUAAG